rnacentral:rRNA from 1 species
AGCGAACGUUAGCGGCGCGCCUAACACAUGCAAGUCGCACGAGAAAGGGCUUCGGCCCCGGUAAAGUGGCGCACGGGUGAGUAACACGUGGGCAACCUGCCCAACCCUGGGGGAUAACCUGCCGAAAGGCGGGCUAAUACCGCGUACGAGGGCUCGACUUCGGUCGGGUUCUGAAAGCAGGCCUCUGUAUACAAGCUUGUGGGGUCGGAUGGGACCGCGCUCCAUCAGCUAGUUGGUGAGGUAACGGCUCACCAAGGCUACGACGGAUAGCUGGUCUGAGAGGAUGAUCAGCCACACUGGAACUGAGACACGGUCCAGACUCCUACGGGAGGCAGCAGUGGGGAAUCUUGCGCAAUGGACGAAAGUCUGACGCAGCGACGCCGCGUGGGUGACGAAGGCCUUCGGGUGUAAAGCCCUGUGGGGUGAGACGAACAGCUGGGGUUCGAAUAGGGCCUUGGCCUGACGGUAUCACCUUAGCAAGCACCGGCUAACUCUGUGCCAGCCGCCGCGGUAAAAC